AGAGUUUGAUCCUGGCUCAGAUUGAACGCUGGCGGCAGGCCUAACACAUGCAAGUCGAGCGGUAGCACAGAGAGCUUGCUCUCGGGUGACGAGCGGCGGACGGGUGAGUAAUGUCUGGGAAACUGCCUGAUGGAGGGGGAUAACUACUGGAAACGGUAGCUAAUACCGCAUAAUGUCGCAAGACCAAAGUGGGGGACCUUCGGGCCUCAUGCCAUCAGAUGUGCCCAGAUGGGAUUAGCUAGUAGGUGGGGUAACGGCUCACCUAGGCGACGAUCCCUAGCUGGUCUGAGAGGAUGACCAGCCACACUGGAACUGAGACACGGUCCAGACUCCUACGGGAGGCAGCAGUGGGGAAUAUUGCACAAUGGGCGCAAGCCUGAUGCAGCCAUGCCGCGUGUGUGAAGAAGGCCUUCGGGUUGUAAAGCACUUUCAGCGGGGAGGAAGGCGUUAAGGUUAAUAACCUUGGCGAUUGACGUUACCCGCAGAAGAAGCACCGGCUAACUCCGUGCCAGCAGCCGCGGUAAUACGGAGGGUGCAAGCGUUAAUCGGAAUUACUGGGCGUAAAGCGCACGCAGGCGGUCUGUCAAGUCGGAUGUGAAAUCCCCGGGCUCAACCUGGGAACUGCAUUCGAAACUGGCAGGCUAGAGUCUUGUAGAGGGGGGUAGAAUUCCAGGUGUAGCGGUGAAAUGCGUAGAGAUCUGGAGGAAUACCGGUGGCGAAGGCGGCCCCCUGGACAAAGACUGACGCUCAGGUGCGAAAGCGUGGGGAGCAAACAGGAUUAGAUACCCUGGUAGUCCACGCCGUAAACGAUGUCGAUUUGGAGGUUGUGCCCUUGAGGCGUGGCUUCCGGAGCUAACGCGUUAAGUCGACCGCCUGGGGAGUACGGCCGCAAGGUUAAAACUCAAAUGAAUUGACGGGGGCCCGCACAAGCGGUGGAGCAUGUGGUUUAAUUCGAUGCAACGCGAAGAACCUUACCUGGUCUUGACAUCCACAGAACUUUCCAGAGAUGGAUUGGUGCCUUCGGGAACUGUGAGACAGGUGCUGCAUGGCUGUCGUCAGCUCGUGUUGUGAAAUGUUGGGUUAAGUCCCGCAGCGAGCGCAACCCUUAUCCUUUGUUGCCAGCGGUUCGGCCGGGAACUCAAAGGAGACUGCCAGUGAUAAACUGGAGGAAGGUGGGGAUGACGUCAAGUCAUCAUGGCCCUUACGACCAGGGCUACACACGUGCUACAAUGGCAUAUACAAAGAGAAGCGACCUCGCGAGAGCAAGCGGACCUCAUAAAGUAUGUCGUAGUCCGGAUUGGAGUCUGCAACUCGACUCCAUGAAGUCGGAAUCGCUAGUAAUCGUAGAUCAGAAUGCUACGGUGAAUACGUUCCCGGGCCUUGUACACACCGCCCGUCACACCAUGGGAGUGGGUUGCAA
rnacentral:rRNA from 1 species